AGGUGUCUGGGUGGAGUUUGCCGGACCUUUUUGUGAGCCGGUUUGGGGAAAAGCCGGGGAAACCAACAGGAAAAAGUGCAACAACUGAACUGUGCACUAGCGCCGAGGGACAGUGGACGGAUCGAGGAAGAAGCGGGCGGUGUGCUGGAUGCUGGAGGUCUGCACCGGAGCCUGUGGAUAAGGGAAGACUAGUUGCACCCGCGCUGGGCCCGCUGUUUGGAUUUGGCCGCGGUGUCCUCCGCCUUUACCGAGGAAGGCGGGGAUGAGUCGUCAGGACCUUAUAUAAAUCCGUCACUGUGGAUUGAGGACCAAGGCUUUAGAUACAAGAAAGCGCUACACAGGUAUUACCAGACACUUCUGGUGGCCCCCGCUGCACCGAGAGGUCAGAGAAUAUGUUUCCACCUGCCCAGUCUGCGCGCGGAAUAAGACAUCGAGCCGCCCGCCUGCGGGCCUUCUGCAACCACUGGCCAUUCCCCUUCGACCUUGGUCCCAAAUCGCAGUGGACUUCGUCAAGGGUCUACCAUCUUCUCACGGUAUGACCACCAUUAUGACCAUUGUGGACAGGUUUUCUAAGGCCUGUCAUCUUGUCCCUCUCAGGAGAUUACCAUCAGCCCUCCAGACCACCAAGUUCCUGGUUAAACAUGUGUUCCGGCUCCUUGGAAUACCUCAGGACGUGCUGUCAGAUCGGGGACCCCAAUUGAAGUCUCCCUGGGAUAUCAACCGUCCUUGUUUCCGUCCGAUGAGAAGGAGAUCACAGUAACGUCAGCACGACAGACCAUCCGCAGGAGCAAGCGCAUCUGGAUUGCGGCGACGAAGGCUCUGCAUCGGUCUGUGGCCCAGAACAAGCGCUACGCCGACAGGCAGCGCGUCCCAGCCCCGGCCUACCGACCGGGUCAGCACGUGUGGCUCUCCACACGGGAUGUCCACCUCAAGUCCCUGUCCCGAAAGCAAUCUCCCAGGUUCAUUGGCCCAUAUUCCAUCGAGUCUCUGGUUGGUCCCGCCUCAGUUCGACUUUGUUUACCCGCCAGUUUCCGGAUUCAUCCUGUUUUUCACAUCUCUCAAGUUAAGCCGGUCUAGACCAGCACGCUUUGCUCUCCACCUGUGUCCCCUACCCCCGCCCAGGACUACCAGGGCCAUCCCACCUAUUCGGUCCAUCCCCUGCUACUAACCUUCUCUCACCUCUAAGAGGCGCUGGAGCUGGAGAUCGGAGAGUUUGACAGGUGCACAUCGUUGCCUCAUCAGCUGGAGGAAUAUAUGAGGGUGGCUCGCUGGCACUUCUACGCCUGGGUGUUUUGCCUGCUGCGGCCGUUCAAGCCCAGCCGCCGAAGUUGGGAUUCCCUCUCUAGAAGACCCUACUGUUGAAUCUGGACUCUGGAUUGUUUCUGGUCUGGCAGCUGCCCUUGCGAGCCCUCCAGGCUGUUUAAGCGCCACCUGUCCACCCACCUUCGGCUUACCUGGACCAUAGGAACACUCCAGCCGAGUCAGCACAGGCACACGUUCGAGACUCGCACCUGUCUCCCCCCCGGCGGAUUGAUCUCCAAAUAUAGCAAUGCGAGGAAUACAUAGUAAAAUACAGUAUCUCACAAAAAACACUGGAAAACCACUUAUUAUUUUCAUUUGAUUUUAUAAAUAUGCUCAUCUUUUUAUUGGUCUAUCAUAAAAUGUCCUAAAAAUAUAUUCAAGUUUAGAGGGGUUGUUAGUUGUUUAAUAAAUUUAAAAGGGGUAUAAAUACUAAAACAUCUUUUUUGUGUAGUGAUAGAGUGGGAACCUAAUAUGCAGUCCUCUAUGCAGCCUACUAGGGUUCCCCUACCAACCUUUAGAGCUUUGUGAAAUGUUCCCACAAUUCUCUCUGUGACUGUUUCCUGUUUGAAUACCGUGAAUAAUUACCACUCAUGCAACAACGUCUUACAUAUAAAAUUAUAUUUUAGGACAAGACUAACCAUUACAGAGUGUCAUUUUGUUAAAACUGCAUUUCUCAGCAUUAAAUAAGAGUAAGAAAAAUGAAGUUAAAAAAUCCAUUGAAGCAACAGAAGAGGGACAAAUAGGCAGAGCUCAGGUAAAUUAAACUGAUGCAUGGAAACAAGGAAGUGAAAGCAAGAUAUCUUAAGAAAAUUGGAAAGAUUUAAAGGAAAAUUAAAUUGAAGAUAUUUCAGGUAAUUAAAGGUGUUUAAUAGUACAAGAUCCCAAAACGCACGAUCCUCAGAUCCUGUUUAAUAAACCACAGGAUCUGUGGUUUAUUAAACCACAGAUCCUGCUGAUCUGUGACACAUGCAAGGCAGCAUAAAUCUGUCUUGCAUGUGUCACGCAUAGCCAGUUUAAGGUAUGCCAUGUGUUUUUACAUUAGAAAAACAUGGAUAAAGAGAAAAAAUUCAUUCAUGAUUAAAAGUAAUAAAAAGAGCAAGAACUCCAAACAUUUUCUUGGAACUUUAUUUUUCUCUGAUGGCCUUGUGUAAAAACUGGAUACAUAACAGAAUGUUUAGCUUCAUAGCAGUAUGAUUUGCUAGGAUAUGUGAGAUAGUUUUGUGAGAAUUUUGCUUCAGUAUCAAUGUUUUAGAUCAUUUUUAAAUAAUUCAAAGGAAAGAAAGCAAGGCACUGUUCUCAUUAGCAAGUUGCAGUGGGGCCCAUGGUCCUUCUCUCUCUAGAAGUUUAAAAAGCAAGAUUUUAGCUUCAUUUCUGUAUUUCUAUUUUUUGCCUGUGCUAUUUGCUGAACGCUAAAACUGGAUGUGAAAUGAUUCUGUGCUGCAGAUGAUUUUCUAGUGGCUUUCAAGUGUGACCUUUAACAUAUUUUAAGAUCAAUAAAUCCUUGAGCUUUUUUAGUGUUGCGGUAAAAUCUAAGUUUUUUAAAAACUAGUGUUUUUCCAAACACAUUUGUGUCUGAGUGAAUAUUCUAGAAAGAUUAAAAAUCUUGAAAGAGAGGGAAACUUUUGAAGAGAAAAGUAUGUCUCUAAUUCUGUGCUCCCAUUAAAUCCCUAAAAUACUUCAUACAA